CGGCGGUCGGGGAGCGGGCGCAGGGGGCUGCGGUUGUCUUCGUGUGCCAGCCUGCUUCUCCAGAGGGAGGUUUUUCCUGUGUCCACCGCAGGUCCUGGCCCCGCGUCUGCUCGUCGGCCGAGGCUGGAGGAGUGGCGGGCGGCGCCGACUAGUUGCUGCAUGUCUUGAGGUCCUGUGGGGACACAGAAGGAGCUGUGAGGCCCCAACAUCCCAAGAACUCGCGGUCCCCGUUGGGGGAUGGUGACUUGUUCCCUGAGUGUUCACUCCGUGCCCUCAGUGGGCCUGGGCCUGUGUGGACCCGAGACAGGUCCGGGUGAGGUGGGACGAGCCCGUCUGACAGCAGAGCGCCACGUUCAGCCUCCAGACCUGCAUCAGAGAGAUUCUGGAACCUCCAGCUGACUGGAGGACUCAGCUUACAACCAAGGAGUCAACUUCGAAACAGGAUAUUUUUGGAGAAAAGACAUUUGAGGGCAUAAAAAUGAUGUUCUGAGGACUCAAGCCCAGAAGACAGCUUCUCAGAUUGCUCUGAGGAACCGCUCCAAAGAGGCUGCACCGCAAGGCUUGUGGGAUCUUAGUUCUCUGACCAGGGAUUGAACCCGGGUCCUCGGCAGUGAGAGCAUGGAAUCCUAACCACUGGAGCGCCAGGGAAUUCCCUGUGUCGUAUUUUAGAUUCCACAUAUAAGUGAUAUCAUAUGAGCACAGUCUCCGGACGCGCAGGCUCAGUGGCCAUGGCUCACGGGCCCAGCCACUCUGCGGCAUGUGGGAUCUUCCCGGACCGGGGCACGAACCCAUGUCCCCUGCAUCGGCAGGUGGACUCUCAACCACUGGGCCACUAGGGAAGUCCCCGAGCAGUGUUUUAUUUGAUUUUGCUUCUGCUGAAUUUGCGUACACAGGCCUCUCACUGUUGUGGCCUCUCCCGCUGCGGAGCACAGGCUCCAGACGCGCAGUCUCAGCGGCCAUGGCUCACGGGCCCAGCCGCUCCACAGCAUGUGGGAUCUUCCCGGACCAGGGCAAGAACCCGUGUCCCCUGCAUCGGCAGGCGGACUGUCAACCACUGCGCCACCAGGGAAGCCCUAUGUUCUUGCCCUCAAGUUAAAACCAGUGGAUCAAGUCCUCAGUGGGAUAUUUUGGAGAAUGAACUAUGCAGUGAAGAGAAAAUAGUAAGAUUCAGAAGAAAUGAUUCCUAGUCUGUUUUUGGAGAAAACUGGGCAUUUCAUAACAUGCGAGAUCAGCAUGUAACCCAGGAGAGGCAUUUGAGAAAUCUUUUGGUGGAGAGUCUGUGUGAAGGUAAAGAAGAUAAUCAAUGUGGAGAAACCCUGAACCAGAUUACAAAUCUUACUGUGCAUAAGGGUUAUCCCACUGCAGUUCAGCCCUAUAAGCAGUUCAGCCCUAUAAAUGCACUAAGUGUGGAAAAACCUUCAGGGAUCGUUCUUUCCAGAGGAAUCAGCAAAGAUCUCACCCUGGACACAAACCUUAUCCAUGUGAAGGAUGUGGGCAAGCCUGCAGCUCUGUCUCGUGCCUAAAUCUUCCUGGGGAAACACAUUGUAGAGAAACGUGAUAAACAUCAGGAUGCUGGGAGAGCAUCUAAGAGGUGCGUGAAGAGUGGCAGUAGUAAACAGCCUUUAGAGCAUAAGAAAUCUGGAAAAGCUCUCACUUGCCUGCCAUCUUUUCAGCGACGUAAUAGAGGUCAUUAUGGACGGAAAUCCACGUGUGUGAAGUACGUGGGAAAUCCUUCAGUUAUUAUUCCCAGAUUGCACGGCAUGUGAAAACUCACACUGGAGAGAAACCCUAUGAAUGUAAAGAAUGUGGGAAAGCCUUCACUCGCAGCACACAGUUUUGAGAACGUGUGAGGAUGCACACUGGAGAGAAACCCUAUGAAUGUAAGCAGUGUGGGAAAGCCUUCCCAUAUUGCAAAUCCCUGCAAGGACACAUGGGAAUGCACACUAGGGAGAAGCCUUCUCGUGUGUGUAAUGAAUGUGGAAAAGCCUUCCAUUGUCCCAGGUACAUUAGAGGCACAUAAAAAGACACAGUGGAAUAAAACCCUAUGAAUGUACAGAAUGUGGGAAAGCGUUCAUUACUCCCUCAUCCCUUCGAGAACAUAUGAGAACACACGGUGAAGAGAAGCCCUAUCAGUGUCAGCAUUGUGGAGAAGUCUUCAGGCUUCAGAGAUCUCUGCGAGGACACAUGAUUACUCACAGUGAUGACAAACCCCAUCAGUGUCAGCAGUGUGGGAAAGCCUUCAAAUAUCCCAUAUCUCUGAGAGGGCACAUGAAAACACACAGUAAAAAGAAACCGUGUGAAUGUCAGCAGUGUGAUAAAGCCUACUGCUAUCUCAUAUCCCUGCAAAGACACAUGAAGACACACACUGUGGGAAAACUUGAAUCCAAGAAUAGUGGGAAAGUCGUAAUUCUUUCUUAAAACUUAGAAGUGGGAGCAAAACAGUGUCAAGAAAUUUUUUUUUUACACCACAUGGCUUGUGGGAUCUUAGUUCCUCAACCAGGGAUCGAACUCAGGCCCCCUGCAGUGGAAGCACAGAGUCCUAAGCACUGGACCACCAGGGAAUUGCUGAGCAACCUUAUGAAUGGAAAAAAUGUUGGAAAAUUUUUUUUUCUUUGUAAGUGUCUUAUCCUCAAUACUGAUCUCAGUAUAUUAAUUUGUACUUAAUGUUGCUGAUCUGAACACGUAAGUAUCCCUCCAUGUUCAUCUCUACCACUUACAUUUUGUUAUCUCUGAGUUCAUAUCAUUGCACAAUCAUAUAAAACUUGUCUCAUUUCCAUUAGAAUGUCUUUGAUAUCAGGGGUGCUAAGUGGCUUUUGGUUUGUGAUUUUUUUCAUGUGCAACUUGUGAUUUCUUUCAUUUUUGAUGAACAGAUUUUUGAUUCUUACUUUCCAUUAUGUUCCAUUAUGUACCUAAUAUGUGAUCAUAAUAUGAGGCUGGCAUUAAUUAAAUAUCUUUCCUUGUCCACUGUUAAGAGAUACUGGAAUCUCCUGAAUCAAUAUUGACCCUCUCCUUGAGUCUUCAUUACUGAAAGGUGUGUCUUCCAAGUUGUUUGUUGCUAGCAGAUACCGUAUAUGUGUUCCUCCCAGAAAUUAGUAAUUGUGGAAGGUCAUGGAAGAUGACGGGCUUAUCUGAUUAUGUUCAUAAUCUGACCUCUGUUCAUGUCCACGAUCUUGGUUGCAAAUUGAACACAAUACAUUGAGUUAAGAAGAGC